rnacentral:tRNA from 1 species
GCCCUUGUGGCGGAAUUGGUAGACGCAGCAGACUCAAAAUCUGCCGUUCGUUUGGACGUGGGAGUUCGAGUCUCCCCGAGGGCACCA